AAGGAAUCAUUGGGGCAUGUGGAAAUUAAUCUUGAUGAUGUUGUGCAUAAUGGACGUAUCAACGAGAAAUACCAUCUAAUCGAUUCGAAGAAUGGAGUGAUACAUGUUGAGAUACGGUGGGACACAGUUUGAGAAAUGGAAUGAAGUAAUGAAAGAUGCUUUCUUUGAGAACAUACAUGUCUACAGAAUUUAUUACAGGACACAGAUUAUUACAGGACCAGGAGAAGACACAAUCAAAACAACACUGCAUUUUUCUUUUAAAUCUUUCUUUAAAAUGCUUUAGCUGAUACUGCAAAAUGUUAUCCAAAAUUCAAACACUAUUUAUCUCCUUUUAAUGAAAGUAAUAGUCAUUUGUGCAUAAACAGUGGACAGUAACUUGGUGUAAUAUUUUGAUCUAUUACAUUUAUCCAGCACAAAUUGGAUUCUCCAGAUUUCCCUUAGAGGAGCAGUCCUCAAUUAGAAGAGGGUCAAACUCUUUGG
rnacentral:misc_RNA from 1 species